GACGAACGCUGGCGGCGUGCCUAACACAUGCAAGUCGAACGGAGUAGAGAGCUUCGGUUUUCUACUUAGUGGCGAACGGGUGAGUAACGCGUGAGAAACCUGCCUUUCAGUGGGGGACAACAGUUGGAAACGACUGCUAAUACCGCAUAAUGUUAUUUGGGGGCAUCCCCGAAUAACCAAAGCUUUAUGUGCUGAAAGAUGGUCUCGCGUCUGAUUAGCUAGUUGGUGAGGUAACGGCUCACCAAGGCGACGAUCAGUAGCCGGUCUGAGAGGAUGAACGGCCAACAUUGGGACUGAGAUACGGCCCAGACUCCUACGGGAGGCAGCAGUGGGGAAUAUUGGGCAAUGGGGGAAACCCUGACCCAGCAACGCCGCGUGAAGGAGAAGGCCUCGGUUGUAAACUUCUUUUACCCUAGGACGGAAGAACGUAGACGGUACCUGGAGAAAAG
rnacentral:rRNA from 1 species